AUGUGGGCCCUAACGAACGAUGAGAGUGCGUCUUGGGACGGGCUGGUUCAGCAAAUCAGUACCAACCGCCUAGGGACGGGGGUUGACACGAUAGAGUGGAGCUUGACAGCUUCGAGAAAAUUCUCGGUGAAGUCCCUUUAUAACAAGCUAACUGGAGGGCCAGCGCUUGAUAUAGCUAAGGGGCUGUGGAAGGCAGGCCUGUCCCUGAAGAUUAAAAUCUUCAUGUGGCAAAUGCUUAGGAAUAGACUGCCUACUUCGGAUAACAUGGCCAAACGAAACAGUCCGGCUGAUGGUACCUGCACGAUUUGCGGCCUAGGCGAAGAUGCGAACCAUGUAUUUUUUAGAUGCCACUUGGCCAGGUUCGCAUGGAGCGCGGUCCGGGAGGCCUUCCACACGAACUAG
rnacentral:rRNA from 1 species